rnacentral:misc_RNA from 1 species
AGCGGAAAAGACUCUCCCCCCUAGAACAGCUGCGGUGAGUUGUAUCAGCAGUCACGAGAAACGUGGCACUACGAUAACUGCACCAGUGGACAUCCCUGCGUUUGUGUGCAGAAGACCGCCUGCUCCACCCUCUUCACUGCUCUUUUCUCUCCCUCUUCAUCUAUUCCGCCUUCCACUGGCCCGGAAGCAAGCGAAAACAGCUCUAUCGGCGUUGCGAAAGCCGUCGGAACGAAGUGGCUGCUGGGCUCUUACCCAUCAACCGCGUCACAUUAUAUUGCAACAGGUGGAGCGAGAUGCCGGCGAUUGUGAAGCAGCUGCCCUCGUCGGACGACGAAAAUGAUCAGGCGUCUCUGCCGCCCGCCAAGCAGUACGCACAACUUGGCGAGGACAGCAGCCCAGCUGGAGCGUCUCGAGCAGAGCUCUCCAACGCCGAAGCUGGCGCGGAAGCGGAGGGGCUCGCCGAGCCGCAGAAACCAGAUGCCGGCGGCUCGGAGCGCGUCGUAGACGUGGAGGAAUGCGCUCGACUCAAAGCGGCUGGAAAUGAGCUCUUCAAAGACGGCGACAUCUCUGAGGCGCUCACGCUGUACCGCAAGGCACUGUGGUGCGCCUCCCUCAAGCCUUUGCCGCCGCAUCACACUGCCACAGGCAAGUCCAGUGCUUCGCCAACGCCGCUGGAUGGUAGCGCCCCUGCAGCGAGUUCACACACGGCAACAGAGGGCGAUGAGACCGAGGCGGAGCAGCAGCCGGAGGACACGACGGACUACACCCUUACGGCGCAGGUGUACUGCAACGCCGGCCUCUGCCUGAUGAAGCUGGACGUGAAGGAGGAGGCGGCGCACAUGUUGUCGGAGGCCAUCCGACACGACGGCUCGUACUUGAAGGCGUACAUCCGCCGCGCGGAGUGCUACUACAUGAUGCAGAAAUGGUCCAGCGCUUAUGGAGACUACGAGAGCUACGAGAAGCUUGGCGGGGUGCUCGACGCGCAAGGUCGCACCCGGAAGGCGGCUUCCAAGGCGAAGGUAGACGAGGAGAUGCAAAAGAUGUUGGGUGAGCUGAAGAGCCUCGGCAACAAAAUCCUCGGCAAUUUUGGCCUGUCCACGGACAACUUCAAGUUCGACAAAGACCCCAACACCGGCGGCUACUCGAUGCGCUUUGAGCGAUAGGACGUCUGAAGCGGAACCCCUCCCUCCUCCCCCCUCCCCCACUCCCCUCCCCCCCUCCCCCACACGAAAAAGAAUCACCGUUGCACUUGGGCGUGUAAUGCACCCCCUUUGCGCGCUGCGUGUGUGUGGUGGUGUGCGGCGGUACUACUUUAAACGCUAUUCUGUGCUUUCAGGAGUUGUUUUUUUGGGUGCAUAUUUUCCGCAUACCGCACGCCACACCUCUCCGCCCCUCUCGCUGAGGGCACUAUUGAUAGGGAUGUUGACUGCAGUGGUGGUGAACAC